AGUGAACGCUGGCGGUAGGCCUAACACAUGCAAGUCGAACGGCAGCACAGUAAGAGCUUGCUCUUACGGGUGGCGAGUGGCGGACGGGUGAGGAAUAAAUCGGAAUCUACUUUUUCGUGGGGGAUAACGUAGGGAAACUUACGCUAAUACCGCAUACGACCUACGGGUGAAAGCAGGGGAUCUUCGGACCUUGCGCGAUUGAAUGAGCCGAUGUCGGAUUAGCUAGUUGGCGGGGUAAAGGCCCACCAAGGCGACGAUCCGUAGCUGGUCUGAGAGGAUGAUCAGCCACACUGGAACUGAGACACGGACCAGACUCCUACGGGAGGCAGCAGUGGGGAAUAUUGGACAAUGGGCGCAAGCCUGAUCCAGCCAUACCGCGUGGGUGAAGAAGGCCUUCGGGUUGUAAAGCCCUUUUGUUGGGAAAGAAAAGCAGCAGGUUAAUACCCCGCUGUUCUGACGGUACCCAAAGAAUAAGCACCGGCUAACUACGUG
rnacentral:rRNA from 1 species